GUUAUGUGUUUUGCACCAGAUUGAAAGCAUCAUAGCGAAAAACGGACCUGUCAUAUCUUUAAAUUUUCAAAAGAGCCCCUGGAAAAAGAAAAAUGAAUAUCUUUGCCAAGGAAUAGGUACUAAGGCAAAUGGAUAAAAAACCUUCAGUCCAUGCAUUGGUAUGUAAUUGUUGACAAAAAUACAAUGAAUGGCCUCACUACUUUUCCACAUGCAAAGAGUUUAACCAAGGAGAAAUUAAAGAAAUUGUCAAAAACCUAGGUAAAUACAGAAUUGCUUAGUACAAACAUAUCUAUACCCAGUACAAGUUCGUCCACUUCUUUGAAGCAUGGUACUUCAAACAGAAACACUGUCAACAAUUUUGUAGAAGGUGAGCCGGUGUCAAAUUCCAGUAAGGGACAUGAUUUCAAUUUUGCACCAACAGCAGAGCUAAAAUUCAUUUUGCCGCAAAAAACUGGAGGAUGUGAAAGAAAAAAGUGCAGAAGUUAAAAUUAAGUUUUUCAUAUGAGCACAUAAAAAAUAAUCAUGACAAAGUUCAGUUGUAUACAGGUUUGACAUGUAAUAAAUAUUUUUGUAAUCUUAUUAAGUUAAUUAGUUUUAUAUAUUAUUUAAAUAAUAAUUGUAUACUUCACAUAGAAUAUGCAGAAAUUAUAUGUACAUAUAUAAAUUUUUUUAUUAAGAUAAGGACAACAUGUAUUAAAGCAUAACACAUAAUAUAAACACACACGUAAUAUCUUCAUUAAAAAUUAUGAUUGUAUGUUAUGUAGCAUUAGAGCCUAAAAACAUUAAGGAGAAUAAAGGUCGUUAUUGGCAAAUGACAAUAUUAUUUUCUCUAUUUCCUACAUUUUUGGUGAAGGGAAUAGGCUCUGCCCUAAAAAGCCAGGUUAAACCAAGAGCAAAAAAGUUUAGGUCUCAUGAGUGUAAGUAAAGUAAACCUUUCUAUUAAAAAGGCCAUCCAAGAUAAAAAAAAAUAUACUAAAAAUAUUAAUGUUAAUUCUUUAGCGACAUCUAGGGUGGAUAUGCUGAAUCAACUCAUCAAUUAAUUCACUGUCGUACUGAUGAAAGUUAUGGCGUAUUCA
rnacentral:lncRNA from 1 species